rnacentral:tRNA from 1 species
AUUUAAGUAUUUUAAUUAAAAUAAGGAUUUGUGGUUUCCUAGAUAAAUAUGUAUUUCUUAAAUA